rnacentral:tRNA from 1 species
GGAUUGUGGCUCAGCGAUAGAGAUCUUGCCUAGCAUGUGCGAGGCCCUGGGUUCGAUCCUCAGCACCA